rnacentral:rRNA from 1 species
GAUGAACGCUGGCGGCGUGCCUAAUACAUGCAAGUCGAGCGAACGGACGAGAAUCUUGCUUCUCUGAUGUUAGCGGCGGACGGGUGAGUAACACGUGGAUAACCUACCUAUAAGACUGGGAUAACUUCGGGAAACCGGAUCUAAUACCGGAUAAUAUUUUGAACCGCAUGGUUCAAAAGUGAAAGACGGUCUUGCUGUCACUUAUAGAUGGAUCCGCGCUGCAUUAGCUAGUUGGUAAGGUAACGGCUUACCAAGGCAACGAUGCAUAGCCGACCUGAGAGGAUGAUCAGCCACACUGGAACUGAGACACGGUCCAGACUCCUACGGGAGGCAGCAGUAGGGAAUCUUCCGCAAUGGGCGAAAGCCUGACGGAGCAACGCCGCGUGAGUGAUGAAGGUCUUCGGAUCGUAAAACUCUGUUAUUAGGGAAGAACAUAUGUGUGAGUAACUGUGCACGUCUUGACGGUACCUAAACAAAAAGCCACGGCUAACUUCGUG